UGCUCUUGACAUCCCACUGACCGGCGAGCAGCGUCGCCUUCCCUUCGGGGCAGUGGAGACAGGUGGUGCAUGGUUGUCGUCAGCUCGUGUCGUGAGAUGUUGGGUUAAGUCCCGCAACGAGCGCAACCCCUAUCCUCAGUAGCCAGCAGUCCGGCUGGGCACUCUGGGGAGACUGCCGGGGAUAACCCGGAGGAAGGCGGGGAUGACGUCAAAUCAUCAUGCCCCUUAUGAGCAGGGCUUCACACGUGCUACAAUGACGGUUACAAAGGGAUGCGAACCCGCGAGGGGGAGCGAACCCCAAAAAGGCCGUCUGAGUUCGGAUUGUAGUCUGCAACUCGACUACAUGAAGCUGGAAUCGCUAGUCAUCGCGAAUCAGCAUGUCGCGGUGAAUACGACCCCGGGUC
rnacentral:rRNA from 1 species